GAUGAACGCUGGCGGCGUGCCUAAUACAUGCAAGUCGAGCGAACGGACGAGAAGCUUGCUUCUCUGAUGUUAGCGGCGGACGGGUGAGUAACACGUGGAUAACCUACCUAUAAGACUGGGAUAACUUCGGGAAACCGUAGCUAAUACCGGAUAAUAUUUUGAACCGCAUGGUUCAAAAGUGAAAGACGGUCUUGCUGUCACUUAUAGAUGGAUCCGCGCUGCAUUAGCUAGUUGGUAAGGUAACGGCUUACCAAGGCAACGAUGCAUAGCCGACCUGGGAGGGUGAUCGGCCACACUGGAACUGAGACACGGUCCAGACUCCUACGGGAGGCAGCAGUAGGGAAUCUUCCGCAAUGGGCGAAAGCCUGACGGAGCAACGCCGCGUGAGUGAUGAAGGUCUUCGGAUCGUAAAACUCUGUUAUUAGGGAAGAACAGAUGUGUAAGUAACUGUGCACAUCUUGACGGUACCUAAUCAGAAAGCCACGGCUAACUACGUG
rnacentral:rRNA from 1 species